rnacentral:tRNA from 1 species
CCUUCGAUAGCUCAGUUGGUAGAGCGGAGGCACUGUAGAUCCUUAGGUCGCUGGUUCAACUCCGGCUCGAAGGA